GGUUCCUCCCUGCCAAGUCCCUGAGUUUGUGUGAGUCCUUGAGAGAAGACAGUAUGGCUACCAUGUUCUACAGCUAGGUGAGAAGCAUACUGAAAGGCAGACUGCCAUGUUUGUCCAGUUACAUUUGCCAAUUGUCUGUAGCUGCCUUAGAUAUGAGAUGCACAGGAUUUCCUUGGAACAUAGGUUUUCAAAGAACAAAAUAAUUUUACACAGAACUCAAGCUGUGAAGCUACUGAAUCAAUGCAAAUGGCUGGUGACUGUAAAUAUGGCGAAGUAGCUUAUGUUGAGACAACGCAAUUUGCUCAAGACAUCAUCUCCUUUGCAAAACAUUACACAUGACUAUGAAAAAGGUCAAGAAUGAAGGUGUAUUUAUAUUAAUUAACACUUCAUAGACAACAGGUCCAAUGCUUACUGUUUCAAAGACAUGAAAAUGAAUUUAUUAGUAGCUGGCCUUGGAUUGUUACGAUAUAGCACUGUGAUGCCAAUAGAUAAAAAAUUCUUACUAAAUAAAUAUGCAAUCAAAUGAAGUAUGUUGCUUGUAUAAAUUAUGGGGGUAUAUUUCUGUUUACAAUAACCUGUUUUUGUGAUAAUGGAGAAUCAAUAUAUGACAAAACAUUC